rnacentral:rRNA from 1 species
GACGAACGCUGGCGGCGUGCUUAACACAUGCAAGUCGAACGGAAAGGCCCUGCUUUUGUGGGGUGCUCGAGUGGCGAACGGGUGAGUAACACGUGAGUAACCUGCCCUUGACUUUGGGAUAACUUCAGGAAACUGGGGCUAAUACCGGAUAGGAGCUCCUGCUGCAUGGUGGGGGUUGGAAAGUUUCGGCGGUUGGGGAUGGACUCGCGGCUUAUCAGCUUGUUGGUGGGGUAGUGGCUUACCAAGGCUUUGACGGGUAGCCGGCCUGAGAGGGUGACCGGCCACACUGGGACUGAGAUAGGGCCCAGACUCCUACGGGAGGCAGCAGUGGGGAAUAUUGCACAAUGGGCGGAAGCCUGAUGCAGCAACGCCGCGUGCGGGAUGACGGCCUUCGGGUUGUAAACCGCUUUCGCCUGUGACGAAGCGUGAGUGACGGUAAUGGGUAAAGAAGCACCGGCUAACUACGUG